GACGAACGCUGGCGGCGUGCUUAACACAUGCAAGUCGAACGGGCCCGCUCUCUUUUUUGGGGGGGGGUUGAGUGGCGAACGGGUGAGUAUCACGUGAGUAACCUGCCCCCUGCUUCUGGAUAACUGCUUGAAAGGGCGGCUAAUACGGGGUGUGCCGGCUGGUCCGCAUGGGCCUGGUCGGGAUGGUUUCAUCUUCGGGUGUUUCGGUGGGGGAUGGGCUCGCGGCCUAUCAGCUUGUUGGUGGGGUGAUGGCCGACCAAGGCGGUGACGGGUAGCCGGCCUGGGGGGUUGGGCGGCCAAACGGGGACGGGGACACGGCCAAGAUUCCGGCGGGAGGAGGCGGUGGGGGGUAUUGAACAAUGGGCGGAAGCCUGAUGCGGGGACGUGGCGUGAGGGAGGGAGGCCUUCGGGUUGUGAACCUCUUUGUCCGGUGGUGAAGGCCCUGUCCGUUGCGGCGGGGUUGACGGUAGCCGGGUAUGAAGCGCCGGCUAACUACGUG
rnacentral:rRNA from 1 species